CUCCUCCCGGUGGAAGUCAGGUUGGGCUAGGCUGGCUAGCCAAGAGGGCUUUUAUAGGCUCCUGGGACGCAUCGCCCUGCUUCGGCAGUACGGCGUCAACUUCUCCGCGGAUUUGUUCGUCUCUCAUCUCUUCCGCACGCCGCUGCUCCUCUGCCUCUUCAUGCCCCUGCGGUGUUCGUCGAAUUGCCCGGCUGGGCAUCGAUGUGUGACCAGCGGUUCAAAUGAUCAAAUUCCAGUGUCGUUUUCAGGUAUUGCGCUUUCACUCUAGAAUCACGCGUUUAUCUCAGCAAUUUCUUCCGUUGGACUGCAUAAAAUCUGGAUGUGAUGCUCGGCAGUAUCGCGCUGUUCAGGUUGGUGGCAUGUCGCGACAUUGACUUGUGCCUCGCGGCGGGUUGAUUUCCUCUGCUGCUUGGACGCAUUUAACUACAAAUUGACAUGAAUAGUACUAAAUUAGCAUGGCCUUUUUAAUGGUUGCUGGACUCAACUGCUCAUUAGCUACGUCCGUUAUGAAACUUUGAGUUUGGUAUAAUCGAACGUGGCUAUUUGCUGUUUCAAUGGUAGUUGAUGAUAAGAUCCUCUUUUUUUUUUCUAAUAUACGAGACAUUAGGUAAUGCACAGGACAAAAGCUAAUUGGCCAUAUAAGAUUGAUUUGACUACUUGCUUAUUCGUGAUACAAUUGUGACACAAGCUGCAUACGCUUGCAGCUCUUAUGUCUGAGCAGUGUUAUAAUAAUUAGGUGACUAGGAUGACAAAGUAGCCAAGCUUAUCCUUGUUUUUUUUGUAUGAUUCAACCCUUCAACGAUGUUAAUCUUGUUGAAGCAGUAAAUCGGCAGCUCUUAAGAAGUGAGUGCACUGGGCUCUAAAACACUUUUCAACUGAAAGACUGAAAUGCAGAACUUUUUACCAUAUUUCCUCCUGAUACCACUGUGGCAACCAACUACCAUAGACUACUGUUUUUUUUAAUAAAAAAAAUGACACCAGUCACAUGCUUUUUCUUGAUGCCAAGCCAUCAAGAUACCGAAAUCAAAAGAAGCAGGUGAUCUAGUCAUUUUUGAUCGAUGUGCAUCUUCAUUUCAUUGGUUUGUUGACCUUUCUUGAUAAAUUAUUUUCAGAAGAGACCUUUUGCAAAAAAAACAAGUGUUUGUCAUGUAUGCUGUGAUUUUGCUUGAACUGAGCGGGAUUAAUUGGAUGGAAUCACUGAAAGUAUGUUAUUUUUUAAGUUUUAUGGUUAGAUGACAAAAAUACUAUAUCACUGAAACACUUGCUCAGAGAGAAAUCUAAUUAAUUACGCGUGUGGGUACCUCAUUAUUGAAGAAAUCAGUUGAUUAAAUAUGCCAUGCUGACUUUAUUCUCCUGUUCAUAUGAAAUAGUACAGAUUUGGUUGCAUCAUUUAUGGUGACUUCCUAAAGGUAUGACUCCACAGGCUUAGUUAAACUGAGACAAUUCAGUUGUGUUCACAAGGGAAAUUGUUGCCUCUUAUUAUUAUAUAAAUCAACCAGUUGCACAUUACUAGUUGGUUCUUUGCUCAGUUUAAAUGGACUCUGAAUAAAUAAGUACAACUGAUUCAUGUUCUGUGAGGAUUACUGAUCAGUCUUCCUGAUAUUUCAGUAAAAUGUACUGAAAGUGUACAAGCAGGACUAUACCAGGUAUUCGGUAGAACUAAUUUUAACUCGGUGGAGUGUACAUCUCCACCAGACCACCACCUUGGUUCGAGUUGUUUAAUACUUUGAUCCAAUUUGUGUGCUUUUUAUCUGUUUUGUUAAUAAGAAAUGUAGUUUUCCUACAUGUUUUAAUUUUCAUCUUUGUUCCAAUUAUUUACUUAAAAAAUCAAUAAUUCAAAUUAUUGCUGAUGUUGCUUACCAAUCUCCCCAGUAUUAAUUAAAAGGUGUGUCAUGUAAUCACAAAAUGAAAGGGGGCUUGUCUAUUUGUAUUCAGAGGUAAAGAUAAACGACACAGGUGAAGCAAGGUAAUUUCUCAAGUGAUGCCUUGGACAUAAACAUGUCAAGCUGUCAACUCUUCUUAGUUGAGAGGCAGUACCUGACAUUUAACUCAAGAAGAAGAGAAGCAAUUUGUAUUAGAGAACUACAAAACCUGCUGAAUUUCUGGGCUAUGGUACAUUCAUGUUCUCGUACCAAGCUUGCUGACGCAGGAUUUGCCGGCCAGAGCAGUGAAAGGCACCUCCAGGUCCGGACUCCAGAUGAGAGCUACCUCGAAAGAUAAUGCCUAUCCAGCAGGCUUCGCAGAAGGGUCCAUGCGAAGGAA